AUUGAACGCUGGCGGCAGGCCUAACACAUGCAAGUCGAGCGGGGACUUCGGUCCUAGCGGCGAACGGGUGAGUAAUGCUUGGGAAUCUGCCCAGUAGUGGGGGAUAACGUCCCGAAAGGGACGCUAAUACCGCAUACGUCCUACGGGAGAAAGAGGGGGAUCUUCGGACCCCUCGCUAUUGGAUGAGCCCAAGUCGGAUUAGCUAGUUGGUAGGGUAAUGGCCUACCAAGGCGACGAUCCGUAGCUGGUCUGAGAGGAUGAUCAGCCACACUGGAACUGAGACACGGUCCAGACUCCUACGGGAGGCAGCAGUGGGGAAUAUUGGACAAUGGGCGAAAGCCUGAUCCAGCCAUGCCGCGUGUGUGAAGAAGGCCUUCGGGUUGUAAAGCACUUUAAGCGGGGAGGAAGGUUCGCGGCCUAAUACGUCGCGGAAUUGACGUUACCCGCAGAAUAAGCACCGGCUAACUCUGUG
rnacentral:rRNA from 1 species